UACGUAGGUGACCAGCGUUGUCCGGAUUUACUGGGCGUAAAGAGCGCGCAGGCGGUCGUUCAAGUCGAGUGUGAAAGCCCCCGGCUCAACUGGGGAGGGUCACUCGAUACUGAUCGACUUGAAGGCAGGAGAGGGAAGCGGAAUUCCCGGUGUAGUGGUGAAAUGCGUAGAUAUCGGGAGGAACACCUGUGGCGAAAGCGGCGCACUGGACCAUAACUGACGCUGAGGCGCGAAAGCUAGGGGAGCAAACAGG
rnacentral:rRNA from 1 species